rnacentral:rRNA from 1 species
AUUGAACGCUGGCGGCAGGCCUAACACAUGCAAGUCGAGCGGCAGCGGGAAAGUAGCUUGCUACUUUUGCCGGCGAGCGGCGGACGGGUGAGUAAUGCCUGGGGAUCUGCCCAGUCGAGGGGGAUAACUACUGGAAGCGGUAGCUAAUACCGCAUACGCCCUACGGGGGAAAGCAGGGGACCUUCGGGCCUUGCGCGAUUGGAUGAACCCAGGUGGGAUUAGCUAGUUGGUGAGGUAAUGGCUCACCAAGGCGACGAUCCCUAGCUGGUCUGGAAGGAUGAUCAGCCACACUGGAACGGAGACACGGUCCAGACUCCUACGGGAGGCAGCAGUGGGGAAGAUUGCACAAUGGGGGAAACCCUGAGGCAGCCAUGCCGCGUGUGUGAAGAAGGCCUUCGGGUUGUAAAGCACUUUCAGCGAGGAGGAAAGGUUGGUAGCUAAUAACUGCCAGCUGUGACGUUACUCGCAGAAGAAGCACCGGCUAACUCCGUGCCAGCAGCCGCCGUAAUAC